rnacentral:rRNA from 1 species
UCCAGUUGAUCCUGCUGGAGAUUGCUGCUAUGGGAGUGCGAUUUAGCCAUGCAAGUCCAGGGGCUCUUAGGAGCACCGGCAAACUGCUCAGUAACACGUCGAUAAUCUGCCCUAAAGUAAGGAAUAGCCUCGGAAAACUGAGGGUAACACCUUAUAGGAAAUAUAUUCUGGAAUGAUUUAUUUCUCAAAAGCAAUGCUUUAGGAUGAGUCGGCGGCCGAUUAGGUUGUUGGCGAGGUAAAGGCUCACCAAGCCUACGAUCGGUACGGGCCUUGAGAGAGGGAGCCCGGAGAAGGGUUCUGAGAUACUAACCCUAGCCCUACGGGGUGCAGCAGGCGCGAAACCUUUACAAUGCACGAAAGUGUGAUAGGGGUACUCCCAGUGCUCAUGCUCAGCAUGGGCUUUUGCCAAGGGUAAGGUCCUUAGCGAAUAAGCAGUGGGUAAGACGGGUGCCAGCCGCCGCGGUAAUACCUGCGCUGCAAGUGGCAAUCGCGAUUAUUGGGCCUAAAGCGUCCGUAGUUGGUCGAGUAAGUCUUUUGUUAAACUGCACCGCAUAACGUUGCAUAUGCAAAAGAUACUGCUUGACUUGGGACCGGAGAGAAGUUAGGGGUAUUCGUAGAGGAGCGGUAAAAUGUGAUAAUCCUACGAAGACCACCUGUGGCGAAGGCGCCUAACUAGAACGGCUCCGACAAUGAGGGACGAAAGCCAGGGGAGCGAAACGGAUUAGAUACCCGUGUAGUCCUGGCUGUAAACGCUGCGAGCUAGGUGUUGCAUUCCCCUAAGGGUAUGCAGUGUCGUAGUGAAGACGUUAAGCUCGCCGCCUGGGGAGUACGGUCGCAAGACUGAAACUUAAAGGAAUUGGCGGGGGCGCACCACAACCGGUGCGGCGUGCGGUUUAAUUCAAGUCUACACGGAAAAUCUCACCAGGGGCGACGGCAAGAUGAUGGUCAGGUUAAAGACCUUACUGGAUGAGCCGAGAGGUAGUGCAUGCCCGUCGUCAGCUCGUGCCGUGAGGUGUCCAGUUAAGUCUGGUAACGAGCGAGACCUACAUCUGCAUUUGCUAACGCCUAAUUUUUAGGAGCGAGCACAAUGCAGAGACUGCCCGGGAAACUGGGAGGAAGGUGUAGGCAACGACAGGUCAGUAUGCUCCGAAUCUCCUGGGCUACACGCGCGCAACAAUGGUAAAGACAAUGGGCUGCAACUCCGAAAGGAGAAGCUAAUCCUCGAAACUUUAUCUCAGUCCGGAUCGAGGGUUGUAACUCACCCUCGUGACGUUGGAAUCGGUAGUAAUUGGACGUUAGCGGCGUCCAGUGAAUAUGUCCCUGCGCCCUGCACACACCGCCCGUCAAACCAUCCGAGCGGGGCUUUGAUGAGGCGUUAGUCUCUGGAUUAGCGACGAAUCUAAGCUUCGUGAGGCGGGUUAAGUCGUCACAAGGUA